ensembl:snRNA LOC120096454 U6 spliceosomal RNA
GUGCUCACUCCAGCAGCUCAUAUACCAAGAUUGGAAGGAUACACAGAAGAUCAGCAUGGCCCCUGCGCGGGGAUGACACGCAAAUCCGUGAAGUGUUCCAUAUUUUU